rnacentral:rRNA from 1 species
UACCAGCACCCCGAGUGGUCGGGACGAUUAUUGGACCUAAAGCAUCCGUAGCCGGUUUUACAAGUCCCCCGUUAAAUCCAGCUGCUUAACAGAUGGGCUGCGGAGGAUACUAUAAGACUAGGAGGCAGGAGAGGCAAGCGGUACUCAGUGGGUAGGGGUAAAAUCCGUUGAUCCAUUGAAGACCACCAGUGGCGAAGGCGGCUUGCCAGAAUGCGCUCGACGGUGAGGGAUGAAAGCUGGGGGAGCAAACCGG